rnacentral:rRNA from 1 species
UACGGAGGGUGCAAGCGUUAUCCGGAUUCACUGGGUUUAAAGGGGGCGUAGGUGGGUUGGUAAGUCAGUGGUGAAAUCUCCGAGCUUAACUUGGAAACUGCCAUUGAUACUAUCAGUCUUGAAUAUUGUGGAGGUCAGCGGAAUAUGUCAUGUAGCGGUGAAAUGCUUAGAUAUGACAUAGAACACCAAUUGCGAAGGCAGCUGGCUACACAUAUAUUGACACUGAGGCACGAAAGCGUGGGGAGCGAACAGG